rnacentral:rRNA from 1 species
GAUGAACGCUGGCGGCGUGCCUAAUACAUGCAAGUCGAGCGAACAGACGAGGAGCUUGCUCCUCUGACGUUAGCGGCGGACGGGUGAGUAACACGUGGAUAACCUACCUAUAAGACUGGGAUAACUUCGGGAAACCGGAGCUAAUACCGGAUAAUAUAUUGAACCGCAUGGUUCAAUAGUGAAAGACGGUUUUGCUGUCACUUAUAGAUGGAUCCGCGCCGCAUUAGCUAGUUGGUAAGGUAACGGCUUACCAAGGCAACGAUGCGUAGCCGACCUGAGAGGGUGAUAGGCCACCCUGGAACUGAGACGCGGUCCAGACUCCUACGGGAGGCAGCGGUAGGGAAUCUUCCGCAAUGGGCGAAAGCUUGACGGAGCAACGCCGCGUGGGUGAUGAAGGUCUUCGGAUCGUAAAACUCUGUUAUUAGGGAAGAACAAAUGUGUAAGUAACUAUGCACGUCUUGACGGUACCUAAUCAGAAAGCCACGGCUAACUACGUG